CAUCGUGAACCCUUGGCAGGAAGGAAGCGAGCAGCUGCAAGCGGCAGUUCGAGAGGGCAUGUCCGAGGCUGAACUUCCAGUGCGAUGCUGCCGUGAGGCGAU
rnacentral:SRP_RNA from 1 species